GAUGAAGAACGUAGCGAAAUGCGAUACGUAGUGUGAAUUGCAGAAUUCAGUGAAUCAUCGAGUCUUUGAACGCACAUUGCGCCCCCUGGUAUUCCGGGGGGCAUGCCUGUCCGAGCGUCAUUGCUGCCCUCAAGCCCGGCUUGUGUGUUGGGUCUCGUCCCCCUUCCCGGGGGGACGGGCCCGAAAGGCAGCGGCGGCACCGUGUCCGGUCCUCGAGCGUAUGGGGCUUUGUCACCCGCUCUGUAGGCCCGGCCGGCGCUUGCCGAUCAACCAAAACUUUUUUCCAGGUUGACCUCGGAUCAGGUAGGGAUACCCGCUGAACUUAAGCAUAUCAAUAAGCGGAGGA
rnacentral:misc_RNA from 1 species